rnacentral:rRNA from 1 species
CCAAUAGCGUAUAUUAAAGUUGUUGCAGUUAAAAAGCUCGUAGUUGAAUUUCGGGAUUAGUACGUUGGUCGUGCCUUUGGUACGUACUGGUGUUACUGGUUCCUACCUUCUGAGGAACCGCCAUGUCAUUAAUUUGGUGUGGCGGGGAAUCAGGACUGUUACUUUGAAAAAAUUAGAGUGUUUAAAGCAGGCUCGCGCUUGAAUACAUUAGCAUGGAAUAAUGAAAUAGGACGUUUGACCCUAUUUUGUUGGUUUCUAGGAUUGACGUAAUGAUUAAUAGGGAUAGUUGGGGGCAUUAGUAUUCAAUUGUCAGAGGUGAAAUUCUUGGAUUUAUUGAAGACUAACUACUGCGAAAGCAUUUGCCAAGGAUGUUUUCAUUAAUCAAGAACGAAAGUUAGGGGAUCGAAGACGAUCAGAUACCGUCGUAGUCUUAACCAUAAACUAUGCCGACUAGGGAUCGGAUGAUGUUAUUUUUAAUGACUCAUUCGGCGCCUUACG